UGAAAAUCCUUUGAGCAUACACGCAAGUGUUGACUUCUGGGCUCUCUGUUCUAUUCCAUUGUUCUGUAUGUCUGUCUUCAGGGACCAUCGGUUCAAUUUUGCUACUAGAAGCUAUUCUUUCUACAGCCCAGAUAGACUUCCCAGCACUCCUCCUGCUCCGCCUGUGACAGGCACACUGCCUCCCUGGGGCAGCCUGACUGACAACGUGAUGUAAUCCUCUGCCUUCGACUUUGGGUCGGAGGAGCUCCCACCCUCCCCUCUCUCCAAACUGAUCUCCAAGUCUGCUGGGUUAGUUUGACAUUGCCUUGUCCCAUUCUGAUUCUGUUUAUAAUGAGUGGUUGUGCAUCCAGCAUUUUCUCAGUCUGCCACUCUCUCUCUUCUUCCAGGUGUCAUCCCUGGCCAGUGUGUCUGGUGGCCGACAUACCGCUGCAUGUGUGUUCCCACCCUCCUCGGAGCUACAUCCAGCAGACUCUCAUGGACCCUAUAGGGAGCACACCCACCCAACUUCUGGGGCUGCCUUGCUUAACUCGACCCCUGCAUCUCAGUUUCACAUGAGGACAAAGGAAAGCUAAGCCGUGCUCUGUUCCAGCCUUGUCCAAGUCACGUCUAAGUCAUUCUGUUAUUGUUUUUCUCUCCAGUCUCAUAAAUAAGGCCUCGCUAAUGGCAGGGAGGGAAUCCAGAGGGCAGGAACAGCAUUACAUCAUCACAUUACCUACGCUGAUGCAUUUCCAAGGCCAACAAACUCAAUUAGCUCAUUGAUAAUAGCUGUACCAGCAGUGGGACUCCUGCAGCCAAGUCUAUUGUUCCGAGGAAGGACCGGAAAACAAAUGACAGUGCAGUCCGCCAUGCAGAGCCACCGGCAAACUAACCCAAAGUUGCAGCUCCAUACCACGUGAGGUUCACUUUAAAUAAUUUUGAGCUGCUGCUUAUGUUGAGU
rnacentral:lncRNA from 1 species